rnacentral:rRNA from 1 species
UACGUAGGGUUCGAGCGUUGUCCGGAAUUAUUGGGCGUAAAGGGCUCGUAGGCGGUUCGUCACGUCGGGAGUGAAAACUCGGGGCUUAACCCCGAGCCUGCUUCCGAUACGGGCAGACUAGAGGUAGGCAGGGGAGAGCGGAACUCCUGGUGUAGCGGUGGAAUGCGCAGAUAUCAGGAGGAACACCGGUGGCGAAGGCGGGUCUCUGGGCAGUAACUGACGCUGAGGAGCGAAAGCGUGGGGAGCGAACAGG